rnacentral:rRNA from 1 species
UACAGAGGGGGCAAGCGUUGUUCGGAAUUACUGGGCGUAAAGGGCGCGUAGGCGGCCUUCUAAGUCGAACGUGAAAUCCCCGGCUCAACCCGGGAACUGCGUCCGAUACUGGAAGGCUUGAAUCCGGGAGAGGGAUGCGGAAUUCCAGGUGUAGCGGUGAAAUGCGUAGAUAUCUGGAGGAACACCGGUGGCGAAGGCGGCAUCCUGGACCGGCAUUGACGCUGAGGCGCGAAAGCUAGGGGAGCAAACGGG